rnacentral:tRNA from 1 species
GUAGGGAAAGUUUAAAUUGAACAUAAAGAUGCAAACUUUAAGGUGGGAAAUCCGCCCUACU